UCAAAAGGAUGUGGGGCUGACCUCUCUGA
rnacentral:piRNA from 1 species